rnacentral:rRNA from 1 species
UACGUAGGGUGCGAGCGUUGUCCGGAAUUAUUGGGCGUAAAGGGCUCGUAGGCGGUUUGUCACGUCGGGAGUGAAAACUCAGGGCUUAACCCUGAGCCUGCUUCCGAUACGGGCAGACUAGAGGUAUGCAGGGGAGAACGGAAUUCCUGGUGUAGCGGUGAAAUGCGCAGAUAUCAGGAGGAACACCGGUGGCGAAGGCGGCGCUCUGGGCUGGCACUGACACUGAGGAGCGAAAGCGUGGGGAGCGAACAGG